rnacentral:rRNA from 1 species
CUGGGCUUAAAUGUAGAGUGCAUGAGUGGGACCCCUUUAAUUCCUUCGGGACUCUUUACAAGGUGCUGCAUGGUUGUCGUCAGCUCGUGCCGUGAGGUGUCGGGUUAAGUCCCAUAACGAGCGCAACCCCUACCUUUAGUUGCCAUCAGGUAAUGCUGGGGACUCUAAAGGAACUGCCUACGCAAGUAGUGAGGAAGGUGGGGAUGACGCCAAAUCAGCACGGCCCUUACGUCCAGGGCUACACACGUGCUACAAUGGUCGGUACAGAGGGCAGCUACCACGCGAGUGGAUGCAAAUCUCCAAAGCCGAUCUCAGUUCGGAUCGAAGUCUGAAACUCGACUUCGUGAAGUUGGAUUCGCUAGUAAUCGCGCAUCAGCCAUGGCGCGGUGAAUACGUUCCC